rnacentral:rRNA from 1 species
GACGAACGCUGGCGGCGUGCUUAACACAUGCAAGUCGAACGGAAAGGCCCUGCUUUUGUGGGGUGCUCGAGUGGCGAACGGGUGAGUAACACGUGAGUAACCUGCCCUUGACUUUGGGAUAACUUCAGGAAACUGGGGCUAAUACCGGAUAGGAGCUCCUGCUGCAUGGUGGGGGUUGGAAAGUUUCGGCGGUUGGGGAUGGACUCGCGGCUUAUCAGCUUGUUGGUGGGGUAGUGGCUUACCAAGGCUUUGACGGGUAGCCGGGCUGAGAGGGUGACCGGCCACAGUGGGACUGAGAUACGGCCCAGACUCCUACCGGAGGCAACAGUGGGGAAUAUUGCACAAUGGGCCGAAGCCUGAUUCAGCAACGCCGCGUGCGGGAUGACGGCCUUCGGGUUUGAAACCGCUUUCGCCUGUGACGAAGCGGGAGUGACGGUAAUGGGUAAAGAAGCACCGGCUAACUACGUG